rnacentral:rRNA from 1 species
CCUACGGGAGGCAGCAGUGGGGAAUAUUGCACAAUGGGGGAAACCCUGAUGCAGCAACGCCGCGUGAAGGAAGACGGUUUUCGGAUUGUAAACUUCUGUUCUUAGUUAAGAAUAAUGACGGUAGCUAAGUAGCAAGCCACGGCUCACUACGUGCCAGCAGCCGCGGUAAUACGUAGGUGGCAAGCGUUGUCCGGAAUUACUGGGUUUAAAGGGAGCGCAGGCGGGAAGCCAAGUCAGCUGUGAAAACUACUGGCUUAACUUGUAGACUGCAGUUGAAACUGGUUUUCUUGAGUGAAGUAGAGGUUGGCGGAAUUCCGAGUGUAGCGGUGAAAUGCGUAGAUAGUCGGAGGAACACCGGUGGCGAAGGCGGCCAACUGGGCUUUAACUGACGCUGAGGCUCGAAAGUGUGGGGAGCAAACAGGAUUAGAUACCCGUGUAGUC